rnacentral:rRNA from 1 species
UACGGAGGAGGCAAGCGUUAUCCGGAAUUAUUGGGCGUAAAGCGCGCGCAGGCGGCCGUUUAAGUCUGGUGUUUAAGCCCGGGGCUCAACCCCGGUUCGCACUGGAAACUGGGCGGCUUGAGUGCAGGAGAGGAAAGCGGAAUUCCACGUGUAGCGGUGAAAUGCGUAGAUAUGUGGAGGAACACCAGUGGCGAAGGCGGCUUUCUGGCCUGUAACUGACGCUGAGGCGCGAAAGCGUGGGGAGCAAACAGG